rnacentral:rRNA from 1 species
UGGGGAAUAUUGCACAAUGGGCGCAAGCCUGAUGCAGCCAUGCCGCGUGUGUGAAGAAGGCCUUCGGUUGUAAAGCACUUCAGCGAGGAGGAAGGAUGGUGGAGCUUAAUACGCUCAUCAAUUGACGUUACUCGCAGAAGAAGCACCGGCUAACUCCGUGCCAGCAGCCGCGGUAAUACGGAGGGUGCAAGCGUUAAUCGGAAUUACUGGGCGUAAAGCGCACGCAGGCGGUUUGUUAAGUCAGAUGUGAAAUCCCCGGGCUCAACCUGGGAACUGCAUUUGAAACUGGCAAGCUAGAGUCUCGUAGAGGGGGGUAGAAUUCCAGGUGUAGCGGUGAAAUGCGUAGAGAUCUGGAGGAAUACCGGUGGCGAAGGCGGCCCCCCUGGACGAAGACUGACGCUCAGGUGCGAAAGGCGUGGGGCAGCAAACAGGAUUAGAUACCCUGGUAGUCCACGCUGUAAACGAUGUCGAUUUUGGAGGUUGUGCCCUUGAGGCGUGGCUUCCGGAGCUAACGCGUUAAAUCGACCGCCU